rnacentral:tRNA from 1 species
CCAAUUACCUGGCUAGCUCAGUUGGUAGAGCAUGGGACUCUUAAUCCCAGGGUCAUGGGUUCAAGCCCCAUGUUAUUUGGG